UGCUCCAGGAGGCAGACAGCAAACAUGGCCCCAGGGCUCCCAGCCCCUGGGAGAGCCAGGCUGAGCCUUAUAAAGGGACCGAUCCUGGCCCAGGUGCACAUCUCCCGCAUCCUUCUCCUCAGUGACGCCUCCUCAGCUCUGCCUGAGAUCCUCAUCCGUACAAGAUGACCGGACCAAACCUUCCUGUUGCUGCUUUCAGCUCCUCUGCGACAACUGCUGUGGAAACGGCCCCAGUGGCAGCUGGGGACACCACCCUCCCUCUCCUCCUUGUCAUCUCUCCUCACUGCAUUCACCUGCCUGUCAGGCCCUGGUACAUGAGAGAGCUGUCUUUCCCAGGACGUCAAGGUCCUGGCAUCAAGAUUCUGCCUCACAAGGCCAAGCAGACUGAAGAUGAAACCUAACGAGAAAAGUCCAGACAGUUAAGGAAAAAGAAAUUCAGUCUUCAAAGCCAAAUACACUGAUGAGAAGGAGCCAACCAGCAUGGCCACAAGCUCCACCCCCGCCCCCCACCUAAAACCCCAGAUGAAAAACCCCUACCCGCUUUUUAAGGGGAAGCCAGCGAUUCUUAAGGCACUAGCUGCUGCUUUGCUCCCUCUGCCUGAAAAAGAAGGUGCAGCUGUUUUUCCCUCUCAUCCAGGACUCUUCUUGUUAUUUGGGUUGGCACCAGGUUCAGAGACCGAACUUUCGGUUACAACACCUAGAGCCUUCACAGUCCAUCACGUGCAGAGCUUGCUCUAUGGUCAUGGUGGACCCCCUGGGGUCUUGCUCCUGAAGCAGCCCAGGUGUCAGAACCAGACCAGCAAUGACCCUGCUCUGCCCCCGUGACUCUAACCCUGACGUUGAAGCUGGAAGAAAUGGAUUUGAUGCUGUUUAAAGCAUGUCAUUGUCACAAUGCUGCGCUUGGCUCCAGUCCCAUCUCAGGCUUCAGUCCUUCCCAGGGUGUCUGAUUCCUACCCUCUCUGCUUCUGCAUCCUGUGGUCCUGCCCACAGUGGACGUCUGUGUCCUUCUCCAUCUCCUCUGGACCCUGACCUGCAUGGGCGCACAUCCCGGACUUGGUCCCACCCUCCUCACUUUGAGCAACUCAUCUCACACCAUGGGGAAACACAAGUGUCUUCUGCUCUUCUUAGUCUUCUCCUCACUCGCUCCUCAGUCCCCAUUCCAUCUUCCCAAUUUGGAGACCCUCACCUGGGGGGAAGGACAAUAAAGUUCAUUGUCUUUCUUCUUGGCAGCUUUUUUGAAAGCCAAGAUGAGUGACACUCAAGCUGAGAAGUCUAUGAUUGCCAUAAUCGAGCUGUUUCACAAAUACACCAGACAUGAUGACGCAAUUGACAAGCCAGGCCUGUUGAAGAUGCUGAAGGAGAAUUUCCCCAACUUCCUUGCUGCCUGUAUGAGUUGGAGUCUGGCUUCUUAUUGUUGCUUGAGCCCUGGCAUGACUGAGGACACAUUUUUUGUUGUGUGACCUUGGACAAGUCACUCUCAUUCUCUGAUCCUCAAGAUUUUCAUCUGCAAAAGGGCAUAGUAGAACUUCAUAUCCUGGAUUAUCAUCAGGGUAUAAAGAGAUGUAUGUGGCACAGUGUGAAGAUGUAUGGAUAUAAACAGUAGUUAUUAGGUGGUCAAGAAAACACUACAACUAGAGGGCAGCAAACAGGUCCCCUCCUGUCACACUCCCUCCAGGAGACUCAAGCCCAUUUGUUCAGGGCCUGCCUCUAGAGGCUCCCAUUAAUGUCCCGGAAAUUUGAGGGAAGGCAACAGAAAUGCCAUCAAUGAUAGAAAUUGCUGGCUCUCCCGCAAGAUAGGGACCCUCCAUGGAGCCACAAAUUGGGGUCGGCAUUCACCUCUAUCCCCAGUCCUCCAUCCAGACUGUGUCUCCUGCUGCUCUCAUCAGCACCCACUCCUUGAGACUCAUGUCAUCUGGCCACAUCACCCCCUACCCUCCUACUCACGGUCUCCUACUAACCUCUUAAUCAGGCAAACAUUGUUCUUGCAGGAAUCAGGCAACUGUCUCCAAAUUCCCUUUCUCAUAGGGUUAGUUAUUUGUCCAUGUGGAUGACUCGUCCACUCCCUACUUACACCUUUCCUUGAGCACCUCAAUUCCCAGACUAUCACCUCCUCUCCACUCAGGCCUCACCACAUUCUGCACCUUGUCAUCAUUUGAGACAUGUCUGAAAUUUCCACCUCCUACAUCCCACUCUCUGGCCACUAUUGUGUGUUCCCUCCUCCUCUCCUUGUCUUUCCACCUGUUCUUCAAACUCAGGAAGAUCUGCCUUCCCUGGGCCUGUUCAUUUCUCUCGAAUCUGAAGCCCCUGCUCCAUCUCUGUGCAGCCUGCACUCCAGAAUUCAACACAGCAAUUGCCCCAUACCUACUGUCAACUCUGGGCCUACUUUCCUUUGGGCCACACCAUCCCUGCAACCCUCCAAUCCUGGACCAACCCCUCCGUUUGUCUUCUCUCCUCCUGCACCACAACUGCUCUCACUAUGGGGAAACAUCAUGGCAGGGCUCCCAAGAGCUGGUGUCUGACUCCCUCUCUGCCCAGCCUUCCCUGGACCCCUCCUAGGAACCUAGCUCCUGGUGUUCCAGAUAUCGCAACUCCUACCCCAACACACCUUAUUGUUGCCUGCCUCAAUGUCAAUUUUCUAACCUCUUCCUCUGCCAGAAAUGUCUUUCAAUGUCUCGUCUGCCUGGUUAAAAUCAUAUUUCACUACUGAAUGUAAAUAUCAACUUCUCUUUAGUGAUUAUUUUUGGAUGUGAACCCCCAACCUUUCCCCCAAAGAAAUGUCCUCUGUCUCCUUUGUGCCUCCCCUCACCCUGAACCUACUUUUAUUAUAGCGAUCACAUCACGUCAUUUUCCCCCAUGUCUGUAUUCCAUGCAGACUUUGAGUUUAUGGAGGGAAAGAACAGUUACUUUCGCAUCAUUGAUCCCUAGCACCUAGCAGUGUCCAGGUGUCACUGGCCAUGGACUCUGACUUAUUCCUCUUGUCUUGUCUGACCUAUUUCUCUCAUCUUAUCUGACUUACCUCUUUGUUUCACUGAAAAUUGCAGAUGUUCUUUUCUCUAACUCCCUGAUGUUGUUUGUUUCAGCCACAUUCCAGGAAGAACAAAAACACCAACCACCUUGAACUAGUCUAGACCACACUAUAGGACUAACAUGUGCACAGAAUAACCAAGCAGCACCCUAGAGUAACCUUUGCUUCAUUUCAAUGCUACAAUCACCCACCCAGGAGGCGCUUAAGCUUUAUUAACAUAACGUGUGAUAUACGUGAAAACAUGAUCUCAAACUACACCUGCACAAGCUUAUACCCACCUCUACGUGUGAUGACAAAACUUCCCUCUUGAAUAUUCGUUCCCUACCCCAAAUAAAGGCUCCUCUUUCCUUUUGCUUGGGGAGCCAUGGCUUUGAGAAAUUAUUCCCUGUGAUCUCCU